rfam:Cucumis sativus cultivar 9930 chromosome 3, whole genome shotgun sequence.
GCAGGCAAAUGAUGUAGACAAAUUCUUAUCCUACACGCUGAAGUAAAUGUAGACUAUAACUCCGCUUAUUAUCUGAUGCUUUG